CUGUAAAUGUGCACGGUGGUGAUGUGAUUUUUUGCACAUUAGACGGAGUAAAGAACAUGGCACUGUCUGCUGAAAAGAAAGCCGAAAUCGUAAAAGAAUUCC
rnacentral:ncRNA from 1 species